rnacentral:misc_RNA from 1 species
CGUCAUUUACACCCUCAAGCUCUGCUUGGUGUUGGGCGUCUGUCCCGCUUCGUGCGUGGACUCGCCCCAAAGUCAUUGGCAGCGGUCAUGCCAGCUUCUCGCGCAGCACAUUUGCGUUUCUUGAAGUUUGGUGGAUCAGCAUCCAGUAAGCUCUUUUAUGACUUGACCUCGGAUCAGGUAGGGAUACCCGCUGAACUUAA